UAUUUUAUAACAAUUUCAGAGCUUUAUUUCUCCAAAACUUAAGCUAAAUUUUAAUUUUUUUAAUAUACACUUCGCAAAAAAAAUUUAAUUUUUACACCCGUCAAUUUUUAUUAUUUUACUCUGAUUCUUCACAAUUUUAAUAGUUAUAGAACAAACAAACUAGCAAACAAUUUAAAAAGUGACAUACGAAAAUAUUCAAACGCACAUUUAGAAAAUAGUUAUUCGAAGAAAAGUAGUUUAUAAAAUAUUAUAAAUGUCUAUGUGAAAUACCAGAACCAAACACACCCACGCAUACAUGCAUAGAAAUACACGGGAAGACUAGCGGCAGUAAGAGAUGGCUGAGAGAAUGGGGGAAAAAAUUGAGGACCACGCGUACAACUGACAGCGGUUCAGCAACAAUUCGAGGCGCUGAUUAACACCGCAAAUGCUUACUGUGGCUAUGAGGAUGAAGGGAUAACUAAACCAGACAGGGGCACAAGUGUAUUUAUAAAGUAAUGAACAUGAACAUCAUAUCAAACGCACCAUGAACAACAACAAAUUAAAGGACAUACAACAAUAACUUGAUAUAUGUAAAUGCAAUAGGAAUAAUAAAACAGAAUUGAAGUUAAGUCGCUCAACAUUAGAAAUAUCAACUAAUUGAAAGGCAUGAAAAAUGUCAAAAAAAAUGCAUUUUUUAAGGAAACACUAUCAAACACACAUACAUACACACACAUAUACAUGUAAUCAAUAUAAAAAUAUUCGCAGCAUGAAAGCAACAAAUAAGCAAAACGUAAACAAAAACGAAAAUAUGAGAUUAAAGGCAGCUAUUUUACAUUUUUUCAAUAAAAUACUAAAUGCGUAAUUGAUAGUGAUGUGAAAAAGAAGACGAAAAGAAGUAGAAGAAGAAGCAAUGUCUAUAUUAAAAAAGCAAUUAGGAACCAAUAAAGUAAAUAUUAAUAUUAAAAAUAAAUUAAAAAUUAAAAUUAAAAAUAUAAUAAAGAAAAAUAAAAAUAAAUUAGAAACUACCAGUUGUAAAUAUUUGAAGCAGAACUUUUUAAAAACAAAGCACAGUUCAUCAUCAACCAAAAUUAAUUUCUGAAAUACGGUAGUUAAUAUUAAACUUAAUUUGAAGUGAAAAAAAAUUACGGAAAAAAAUGUAAAUAAGUAAAUUUAAAAACUGAAUUUUUCUUUAUAAUUCAAAAACACAUAAAAUCUCAUAAAAUGGUUAUUUGCAUGAAGACAAAGUGAAAAUUUUUAUUUAAGUUAAAAAUUAUGCCACACCUUUAGUGGUUACACAUUCGUGGCGAGUAGUCCACGCUUACAUGCUGCUUAUCCAUAUCUCGUGGCCUAAAAGUAGACACAAAUUGGGGGCUCAUGACAAGCAAAAAUACGUUUCACUUAAAAAUACCAGAAAUACUUUUGAAUGGCGUUACGAUGAGAAUAUUUUGGAAACGCAUACAAAAUGUAAAUAAUUGGUUGGCAGUAAAAAGAGUCAAGCAGCGAGUAUUUGUUAUAACCAGCAGUUAAAAAAUUUUCAAAAUUAUAUACUUACCACUUAAAUGCAUACAUUGAACUGUGUAUUGCAAUUCAUAUCGUUUUUUUUUUUUGCUAUUUUACUAUUUUUACAAACUGCAUGAGCAACAGGAACUUUAUACUUCACGUAUCUCGAUAAACUCUGUAUUAUCGUCACAAUCAAAUAAUGGCAAAUCAGUGCCAUUUUCGCACUGUUUUGCUCCAGCGCUUUCAUUACCAGCUUUGUGCCCAUGCAAUGAAAUUUUGCACUCAGCCAAAUGGUGUGCGCUACUAUCCACUAGCCACAUGAUUUCCAAUGAACUCUUGUGUGACUACACCAACUGCAUGAACAGCAACUUGCUUGAGUCAUUGCUUCUGUAAGUAUAUUGGCCAGUUUUAGAUGGGUCCCUACUAUGAAGUCUAAUAAUUCAUUUCAAUUAAGUGAACCCCAUAGUUUGGAUACAUUUUCGUAGUAUUCAUGGAACAGCUUUUAUAUUAUUAGAGCAACUUUUUCGCCUCAGAAAAUUUGGAAUUUUUUUAGUAGCAAUUCCAUCUUCAUACUCUUAUUGAGAUCCUCGUCUAUUUUCAUCUCUUCCAGAUUCACUUGACACUACUUUAUCGCCUUGUAGGCACAAGCAAAAUUUUUAAAAUUCAUAUUCAAAUUCAUAUAUGAUUUUACUUAUCUAAGAGCCCAUCUAUUUGACAUAUGGAAAAGGUGUUGUUCUGAAACUCUAAUUUCAAAUUGAAUUGCUAGAUUGAAAAUAUUCAAAAAAAAUAUGUGCAUACCUUAGGGGAAUAAGUAAUUGAAUCUUAUUUAUUCCAAAAAGUUAACUAGCCCCUUAACCUACGAUUUGGAUCGAAGUUGUUAGGUCGGAAUGGUAUACAAGCUCGCGAAGUUUUUUUUAAAUCAUCUCGCUUCAACCUACCCCAUGGCACACGUAAUACAAUAUAAUAUUUAAGUUUGGGCUGAUCGCCGUACGUGGGCUAUGUCCGUCAUCGUGGGUGACCUUUUCAGAGGGUUUUUGGUUUUUGAUGAGAUAUGACUUCUUAAGCACUGCUAGUUCCUUUGCGGAAGGUACUCGUACGAGUAUGCCCCAUUAAAAUAUACUGCAGACUCACCGUGAGUGCUAAGUCGUUUUCCUCUUUUUUCUUUCAUGAAUACCUCGGCAACGCUCUUAUAUGAGAACAAAAAUUAUUUUCGAAAUCAAAAAUUGGAAUUAAUUUUUCUGGAUAUUGGAUAUUGGGAAGAGGAUAUUGAGGAUAUUGUAGAUUUUGAAAAUUGUUUAUUGUGUGUACUUAUUCUUCACAUUGCAUGGAGUUUGAAUGUAUUCCUAUUUGAAUAGGUUGACUUUGAAAGGAUGAAAGGCGCCAAUGACUAGCAUUUUGCGCAUUUGCUGCAAGAGUGUCAGAAUAAAAAAUACCAAAAUACUAAAAAACAAGAAAUCGAUGCCAGUUUGCAUUUUACGAACUCUGUGUAAGUAAAAAUGUAUUGUAGUAAAGACAAUUUCCAUCUAUUGCUUUAAAUCAUUAAGUAAGUAAAAACAUAGGGUCACAAUCGCGAACAAAAACUAUUUUAUGUGGGGUGCCAGUACUGGUAAAAUUCAUCUAUUAGUCCAUGAGCCAUUGAUCGAUUUUGGACUGCGUUUUUAUACCGUUAAAUUCCUUACCAUACUAUGGGUUUAGCUUUCAUGAAUAACGUAAAUGAACGUCAGCUGGCACACGCGCAGUGGGUGUGAUUGUGGGAGGGUAUGAAACGUGCCGAAAAAAAAUUUCUAUCAACUCAUUUUAUACCGGCUGAAUAAACGACGCUACGUCCCCAUAUAAAAAGUUGACAAAAAUAGGCAAAGACUGGAUUUUGCUAAAAGUGUGCCCUCAUUACUUACUCAAUAGUUGAACCAUAGAGCCUCAAUCACUAAUUAUUUGGCAAACAGCCAUAUUGAUGAGGCCGUUCGGGUGUAAAGAAGAUGAAGGGAAGAUAUCGUGAUGAGUUCUAUUUGGCGAGAACCAUGUGCUUGCUCAUAUACACAAAGAGAAUGCGACACGACGCAAGUGCGUUGUCGAUUUGAGCACGGCAAAUAUAUAGUGCGGGAGCCAGGGGUCAUUUCGACCUCAUCAUUUCUUGCCAACUGAUUUUUUUGCUGAAGGCAGACGCCAUCCAAUGGAUGACGAAACCAACCGUCACUUGGUCCAGUAGCGGUGGGUACGUGCGUGGGAUGCUGCAAAACGUGUCGAAAAAAAUAUUUAACAACUCAUUUAAUACCGGCUGAAAUUUUAUUUGUGUAUUGUUGUCAUUUAGUAGAAUAAAAAAAAAGUCAGCUGCGCCGUAGAGGGGGUAAAAUACGUCACGAUAUCUUCCCUUCAUCUUCUUUACACCCGAUCGGCCACCCAAUAUGCCUGUUUGCCAAAUAAUUAGUGAUUGAGGCUCUAUGGUUCAACCAUUGAGUAAGUAAUGAGGACACAAUUUUAGCAAAAUCCAGUCAUUUCCUAUAUUUGUCAACUUUUUAUAUGGGGGCGUAGCGUCGUUUAUUCUUGCUUCUAACUCUGCAGAUAUACGAGAAGAGUCAUCGUUGAUUCUGUAACUCGAUACGAAGAUUUGUAUAUUCUCCAAUUGUCAUAUUACUUACUUUCCAAAAAAAAUACGCGCAACAUAUUUGAGUGAAGAUGGGGUGCCAGUACCAAUGGCAUACAAAAUUAUUAUUCCCUCACUUAAACUCUCGAAAUCAAAUUUCAUUACAGCAUGAAGCAAGAGCUGGCGGUUUUUUCUGCAUACUUGUCCGAAAAAAUUUUAUAUAUUUUUUAUUUUAGAUUAUGACACUCUUGCAGCAACGGCGUGAUAUGCAGCAGUCCCUCUUAUGGUAGGCGAUCUUUUGCUACACAAUUUUCACAAAACGAUUUUUAUAAUUUUUCCACAAUUGUCGCUUCUAUAUAACCAUUAACUAUCAUCUCCAUUUAUAAAUAAAAAAUAAAAAGGCAAAUAUGGUAUUAUAGGAAAAUAAAUAAGCUACUUGUCUGUAUGUAUGUAAAUUAGUUAGUAGGCAGCGUUUGCGCUGCAAAAGAAAAGAAUCCUUGUAAAAAUACAAACGAUACUCACAAAAUAGCUAUGAUAUUAGUAUUAAUAUGAAAGAAAACAUAUACAAGCAAACAAGUAUACUAUGUAUGUGUAGUGUACAUAUAUGAAAAUUACAAAUUUUUAAAAUCUAAGUCAUACACGCAUACAUUCACACGUAUGUAUUUGCAUUUGAAGCCACACAUUCGGGUGCAAUCGAAAAUUGUUAAGCAACAGCCCAAAUGUUGUAAUUAGAGAAGAGGAAGAAGAAAAAAAUGAAUUAACAAAUAUUAUUAUUAUUAAUAUAAAUAACGUAAAAUAACAACUUUUUUCAAAUGUGAGCGCAAAUAGCGCUUUCAACUCGCUUUCAAUGUCAGCAUUUGCCGUCUAACCUCUUAUAAUACUAAAUGUGAUAGUAGUGAAGUCUAUUUUUGCAAAAACACAAAACAGCAACAACAACAACAACAAGUAAUAAUAACACAAUAAAAUGCAAAUAGAUUUUCUUACUCAAUUGAUAAUAAAAACAAAAAAUGCAACACUAAUUUUUAUAAAUGGCGAUAUAAUAAUAAAAAGGGGGAUUAUACUAAAAGUGGAUGAAUAGAAUUGGAUGAAAUUGAGAAUGAUUAGGAAAUGGUAUGAAAUACAUAGGCUUGUAAAAUUUUUAAGCUUAAUAGAAAUGAAACAAAAAAACAGCAAAAAAACAAACUAAAUAUUAAAAGAAAUAUUCAACUAAAUAUGAUUUGCUAUUUGACCAAAGCAUUUUUUACACAUAAACGGUGGUUAAGUUUCAAGGGCCGAUGUUGAUUUUGAAUAAAAUACCAUUUUUUUUUUUAGGAAAUUGUUGUCAUUUCUCCUUAUUAUGAUAAUAUUGGUAUGGCUCAAUUACGUAUGGAACAAAAUAUCGGCCAAAUAGUCGCCGCGGUCUCGGCGGCACACCUCCAUCCGAUGGUCCAAAUUUUCGAUGACGCUGAGGCAUAAUUGAGGUUCUAUGCCGUUAAUGUGCCGAAUUAUCUCAUCCUUUAGCUCUUCAAUUGUUGCUGGCUUAUCGACGUACACCUUUUCUUUCAAAUAACCCCAAAGAAAGAAGUCCAACGGUGUCGUUGACGUUUAGGUGUGGUUCACAUUCAACAUCGGCCCUUGAAAUUUAACCACCCUUUACAUGCAUGCAUAUAUGUAUAUGUACAUACAUCUCGUAUGAGAUUACUCACCUACGUUUAUCGGGGUACAGGAUAUGCUAUAGUACUUAUGUAUAUAUUCUCUGCCUCAACACGCGAGGCUUUUUUCUUAGCUAGAAAGCUUAGAGCAAAGCAUACGAGCAGAAAAAUUAAACUCGUGAGCUGGAAAGUUACACUCGCGAGCAGAAAAAUUAUACUCGUGAGCAGAAAAAUUAAACUCGCAAGCGUUAAAUUUUGUGCGCGAACUGAAAAAUUAAACUCGCGAACGCAAGCAUUAAACUCGCGAGUUAAAAAAUUAAAUCCGCGACCUAAAAAAUUUCGCUCGCGAACUGAAAAACUUAGCCCGUGAGUUACGAAAUUUUACUCGCGAGUAAAAAAAUAAAACUUGCAAACGGAAAAAAUUAUUUCGGUAGGAGCUAUAAACUAAAGGAGAAGAUAGUAAAGGUUUGCACACAAAAAAAUAAUAUUUUUUCUCGCCAGCUCGCAACUGAAGAGCACCUAAUUUUUCAGCUGACGAGCAAGCAUUUUCAUAUGCUGAUUUGAGUUUUUUUAAUCUCAUUUGAAUAACAAAAAUUUCGUAACAAAUUUGUUUUCAGAUUUUUUUACUCGCCAGCUCGUUACAAAAACGCACGCAAUUUUUCAGCUCACGAGCGAGUAUUUUCGUAUGCUAAUUUGUAUAUAAAAAAUGCAGUUGAAAACAAAUAAUUAAUGACUUUUACGUAGAAAUCAAUGUUAGGUGCAUAUUCAAAUUUAUCGAUGUCUAACACAAAAAUACAUAUAGAAAUACAGCAAAGGCUCAAUAAAAGUAGAUAUGGAAUAAUUUUUGAGAAUACACAAGUGAUAAAAGUCUAUGAAAUUAACCAGACACUGAAGGUGCGAAGGAGAAAGAUAAAGCGAGAAAUGAAAAGUGAAACUUGAGGGGCAUUACUUUAAGCUUGAAAUCAAUGCAUGGGAGGUGUGGUCAUGAAAUAACGAGACUGAUGCUGCUAAACUUUUAUUUUUGAUUUCAUGAUUAUUUACCUUUACUCAACUUCAAUACACAUUACUGGUCUAAGCCGACAAAGCUCCUAGAGAAUUUUUCAUUUUUCGAAACAUUGCUGGAAGUUUUCCUCUUCAGCACGGAUACCGCUUUUUCUGUCUCUGCUUGGACGAACUCAAAUCUUGUGCCUUUUAAAGCGGAUUCUACCUUAGGAAGCAAUUGAAAGUUGUACGCCGCAAGAUACGAUGUACAUAUCGUCCCCUUAGUAUUAAAAUAGCCUAUACAUUUUUUGAUGUUUUGAGAAAAUGAAUUUCAAACUUUUUGUCGAAAGUAGCUCUCACUCAAAUCUCGUUAUGUCUGUAAAUAUUUAUUAUUUUUUGACUGACGUUUUGACCCACUUUGUGGAACUAGAAUUUGACAAAAUUUUGACCACUUAUAAAAUCGACGAUGGAGAAUCCAAAAAUUCAAUAAAAAAAUAAUAGCCUAUGAGCACAUAGGCUAUUGUUAUACUAAGGGGACGAUAUACUCGUCAGGUGGAUGAUCUAACACUUCAAGGCUGUACUUGGCAAAGAAACGUCUAAGCAGAAUGAUCCGCUAAAUGGUGCGUCAUGCUUGUACUUCUCAUGCGUAGAACCGCAGCUCUAUUCUAGCUUGCUAAUCUACUUUUUUUUUAAUAUUUUCUAUUCGCCUAUUACAAUCAAUAUUUGCGACUAGCCUCCUAAUCUAGUGCUUGCUUUUUUAAGGUGUGAGGACAGCAUUAAGUUCUCUCCAAUAACAGUCUCUCCUUUACAUAAUUUUUUUAUUUCACGAUCAGAACACAUCUACCAAGUUUUUUAUAAAAGUUUCAAGACCACCUGCUCACUGAUUUAUUAGAGAAAAGAAAAAAAAUGUGUAAAAAUCAGCUUAACCAUAAAAUAUUUAUGAUUCUCCAUCGCUUGAGUAGAUUACUAAGUUGACAAAGCUAGUUGCUCGUAAACUAAGUAUUUGUGAUAGUUGUGAAACAAUCGAUAAAAUUAUUUGUAUAGAUUUCAUACACACACACACGAGUUCAUAGCAGCAUUUAAUUAAAAAUUAAUUAAGUGAAAAAUUUCCAUUUCCUUGAUCUGAUUUCAUAAGUGUCGUUAACUGAUAAGGAGGCUUCACUGAUAACCAGACACCCGAUUGAUUAUCAGAUCUGAAUGUAAUUAUUUCGUAGGAAAGAAAAGUAGUAUAACCAAUUACAGAGAAAGCACAACUCAACGAUAGAUGAUAAGGAGCAGAUAAUUGAAUAGCCAUAAAAAUAUAUAUUGAAUAUUGAUAAUAGAAAUGUAUUAAAACUAAGAAAUUCAUAAUACAUAUUUUAAUAGGUUUUAAACAAUUUGAUAUGAAGCAAAUAGAGAUUUCUAAAAUGUAGAUAAAAUUAUAAAUGAUAAACUGAGGUGAAAGGAGUGUGCUGAAAAAUCCGGAAGGAGAAACACUGAUAUCAUUCAACAACAAAAAACUAUGUAGUACUCGGAACAGUCUGUGCAGCAGAAAAGGAAAGUCGAUAACUGAUUGUUAAGGUUUAUAUACAGCCAUCUCUUUCGCACAUUUUCAUUGGAUGAGCGAUUCCAUGUCAAUUGAUCAUAGUAUUUGGCUCAAAGGCAAAUAAUUUUUUUUUUUUCAAAUGUGUUUUUAAUUUUACAAUAAAAUAUACUUAAAAACAAAUUUGUUUUUUAAAAAUUUUAAAUUUUUUGUUAAAUUUUUUUUUUUUUUUUAAUCAGAUUUUUCAUAUUUGUUUUGUUUUAUUUUUCAUUUUACCUCGAGAGUUUCGUAGUGCGAUUGCCAUAACUUUUCGAGUUAUAUUCAAAACCUAGCGAUUCGAUGGAGCAGAAUUUUUGGUUUCUGGUUCGUCGUACGUAUUUGAAUUUAAGUAGAAAAGUUAUUGAAAUAGUUUCCUAUUAUGAAACUUUCAGGGAGUACUGAGCAUAGUCUUAGCUAAAAAAAAAAGUUAGAAACAAAUCUGAGGGUGGGUCUGUUUCCAAAAUUAAAACAAAAAAAUGUUCGCAAACAAGUAAAUAUUUUUCCCAAAAAAAUAUUUAAUUUAUAUUUCAUUCUAAAAAUUAUAUAUAUGUAUAAAUCCAAAAAAUAUAUCUAUAUUAAAAUGAAUACGUUUCACUUAUGACAAAAAAAUGUUUCCCAAAAUUUAUGAACAAAAAAAAAUUUUUUAUAAAAUUGUUUUUUUUUUUUUUAAUUAUAUUAAGAAAGAUAUUUUUCUUUAAAAAACCUCGACACACAAAUUUUCAAAAUUUCUAACCUUUUCUAUUAUAUUUUAUCCUGAAAAUAAAAAUAUCAAAAGUAGGAGAAGAUUUUGACUUUAAAAACUCCGUACAAAAAUUUCGAAAUUACAAAAAUAAAAAAUUAAAAGAAUUUUCAGAAAAAUUGGGGAACAUGCCCAAAAUACUUAAAUGUGGUAAUGGUAACAUGAAAAUAAAUUUCUUUUACUUUUCAAUUCACCGUCGUUUCUAAUUUGCUGGGCAGGCUGUACCAAAAUAUGCAAUAAAAGACAGGAGUAGGUAAUAAAAUAGGGAGCAAAAAAGUGAAAUGGAUGCGUAAAUCAAUAGGAGUAAGAAGUCUGAAGGCCAGCAAACUAUGUUUACAGUGGGCAUUAACAAAUUUAUUUGUAUUUGUAGGUACGUAAAAAAUGAAAGUAAAGAAGCAAUAACAUGGAAAAAAAUACUUGGUUUUAGGUAAACUAAAUUUUUGAAAUGAUUAUGAAAAACCACAAAAUAUGAAUUCGUCAAACGAAAAACAAAAGUGUAAAAUAAAAUGCAUGAAUUUUGAUGCUAACUUUUUUGCGUAUUCUAUGUUCAUACCAUCAACCAUAAGCAUUUUUUCAAGACCUUUUUUCUUAUUUUAUUCACAAUAAGAUUUUCUGCAGAGAAUCGGUGUCUACAAAUCAAGUUUAACAGCUGUAAUUUUUAAAAGGAAAAUAAUAGAAAAAAAAAAUUAUAUGAAAGUAAGAAAAAACGAAAGAGACAGAAAACCUCCCCGCCAGCAUAUAUUCAAAUGGUGUGAUAAAACUUUACGACAUUAAAUAAAACUAAAUUAGAUUUAAAACAAAAAAUAGGUUUAACCAAAUAUUUAACUUAAAUGUACUAAAAAAUAAUUAAGAGCAAAAAGGAAAACAAAACAAAAGACAAAAAGAACAGAAUGCAAAUGUAUUACACACAAAUAAAAUAAGGAAGCAUUUGUCCAAAAAAAACAAAAAAAAAUAUUAACAAUUACUUUACAGUGAAAAAGGGCUUAAAAAACAUAAAAAGUUCAAAAUAAAAAAAAGACAAAUUAAGAAAAAAAAAUCAAUUAAAAAAUAUUAAAAAUUCAAAAUGAAAACCAAAUAAAAAAAUAAAAUUUCAAAAUAAAAAAAAUUAAAACAAAAAAGUCCAAUUGAAAUAUAUAAAAAAUUCAAAAAAAUGUCCGACUCACAAAAUGGCACUAGCGAAGGCGCAUUGAACAGGUAGUGGAUGGUAGAACAGCUGAUGUGAUUUUUUUCUAUUUAUUUGGUUCACAAUAUGAAAAACAAAUAAAUAAUAAAAAAUAAAAUAAAUAAAUAAUAAAAAAUAAAAUAAAUGAAUAAUAAGAAAUAUAUAACUACAAAAAAUAAAUAAAUUACAA